rnacentral:rRNA from 1 species
CGUGAAGCUUUACUGUAGCCUGAUAUUGGGUUUGGGCUUUUCUUGCGCAGUAUAGGUGGGAGGCUAUGAAGCUAUCCUUGUGGGGAUAGCUGAGCUAUCAGUGAGAUACCACUCUGGAAAAGCUAAAAUUCUAACUUUAAGCCGUUAUCCGGAUAAAGAACAGUUUCAGGUGGGCAGUUUGACUGGGGCGGUCGCCUCCUAAAAAGUAACGG